rnacentral:rRNA from 1 species
UAUGAUAUGGGUNCCNACGUGUAGUAUUGCCUGUACAUUCUUGUAUAUUUAAUUGUAAGAUGUUGUCGGCGUGCACUUCUCCCCUAGUAGGACGUCGCGACCCGUUGAGUGUUGGUCUACGGCCCAAGUGGUAGCUUUUGAUGAAUUUUAUUCAUUGAAAACCCUUGGUGUCUCCUGACUGGCACUCGUCGGUAUUCGUAUGGUAUUGAGCCGCAUAUUAUAUAUGCGUCCAUAUCUGUCGCAAGCGAGGCUAGUUACUGAUAGUGCGGACCUAGUGCCGUCGUUGGUACUAAUCAGCUGUUGGUCGUACAGAAUUCUAGGACUGGCUCGUUGAAAUAUACCGGUCAGCGAUGCUACUGCUUUGGGUACUUUCAGGACCCGUCUUGAAACACGGACCAAGGAGUCUAACAUGUACGCGAGUCAUUGGGAUUUUUAUAAAUUAAACCUAAAGGCGUAAUGAAAGUAAAGGUCGUCCUUGUGUCGACUAAGGGAGGAUGAGCUGUGUUACGAGACAGCUUCGCACUCUCGGGGCGUCUCAUUCUCAUUGCGAGAAGAGGCGCACCU